GACGAACGCUGGCGGCGUGCUUAACACAUGCAAGUCGAACGGAAAGGCCCUGCUUUUGGGGGGUGCUCGAGUGGCGAACGGGUGAGUAACACGUGAGUCACCUGCCCUUGACUUUGGGAUAACUUCAGGAAAAUGGGGCUAAUACCGGAGAGGAGCUCCUGCUGCAGGGUGCGGGUUGGAAAGUUUCGGCGGUUGGGGAUGGGCUCGGGGCUUAUCAGCGUGUGUGGGGGGUAGUGGCGUACACAGGGUUUGACGGGUAGGCGGCCUGGGAGGGUGGGCGGCGCCCUUGGGACUGCGAGACGGACCAGACUCGUACGGGGGGCAGCAGGGGGGAAUAUUGCCCAAUGGGGGGGAGUCUGUGGCAGCGACGCCGCGUGCGUGAUGACGGCCUUCGGGUUGUGAACCGCAUUCGCCUGUGACGAAGCGUUCGUGACGGUAACGGGUAAAGAAGCACCGGCUAACUACGUG
rnacentral:rRNA from 1 species